GGUCGGCGGUGCGAGGAAUACAACACCGCAAGGGAAUAACUCCGCUAGCUAAUAGAUCUAGUUUUGAGCCGCCGACCACCCGAUU
rnacentral:ncRNA from 18 species